rnacentral:rRNA from 1 species
AUUGAACGCUGGCGGCAGGCCUAACACAUGCAAGUCGAGCGAGCGGCGGACGGGUGAGUAAUGGCUGGGAAACUGCCUGAUGGAGGGGGAUAACUACUGGAAACGGUAGCUAAUAACGCAUACCAUUGGAUGUGCCCAGAUGGGAUUAGAUAGUAGGUGGGGUAACGGCUCACCUAGGCGACGAUCCCUAGCUGGUCUGAGAGGAUGACCAGCCACACUGGAACUGAGACACGGUCCAGACGCCUACGGGAGGCAGCAGUGGGGAAUAUUGGACAAUGGGCGAAAGCCUGAUGCAGCCAUGCCGCGUGUGUGAAGAAGGCCUUCGGGUUGUAAAGCACUUUCAGCGGGGAGGCGUUACCCACAGAAUAAGCACCGGCUAACUCCGUGCCAGCAGCCGCGGUAAUAC